rnacentral:rRNA from 1 species
UACGUAGGGGGCAAGCGUUGUCCGGAAUCAUUGGGCGUAAAGAGCGUGUAGGCGGCCUGGUAGGUCCGCUGUGAAAGUCCAGGGCUCAACCCUGGAAUGCCGGUGGAAACUGUCAGGCUCGAGUCCGGAAGAGGCGAGUGGAAUUCCUGGUGUAGCGGUGAAAUGCGCAGAUAUCAGGAGGAACACCAAUGGCGAAGGCAGCUCGCUGGGACGGUACUGACGCUGAGACGCGAAAGCGUGGGGAGCAAAUAGG